UACGGAGGGUGCAAGCGUUAUCCGGAUUCACUGGGUUUAAAGGGUGCGUAGGUGGGCAGGUAAGUCCGUGGUGAAAUCUCUGAGCUUAACUCAGAAACUGCCGUGGAUACUAUUUGUCUUGAAUAUUGUGGAGGUGAGCGGAAUAUGUCAUGUAGCGGUGAAAUGCUUAGAUAUGACAUAGAACACCAAUUACGAAGGCAGCUCACUACACAAUUAUUGACGCUGAGGCACGAAAGCGUGGGGAUCAAACAGG
rnacentral:rRNA from 1 species